rnacentral:rRNA from 1 species
CUUGGUCAUUUAGAGGAAGUAAAAGUCGUAACAAGGUUUCCGUAGGUGAACCUGCGGAAGGAUCAUUACCGAGUGCGGGCCCUCGCGGCCCAACCUCCCACCCUUGUCUCUAUACACCUGUUGCUUUGGCGGGCCCACCGGGGCCACCUGGUCGCCGGGGGACGCACGUCCCCGGGCCCGCGCCCGCCGAAGCGCUCUGUGAACCCUGAUGAAGAUGGGCUGUCUGAGUUUUAUGAAAAUUGUCAAAACUUUCAACAAUGGAUCUCUUGGUUCCGGCAUCGAUGAAGAACGCAGCGAAAUGCGAUAAGUAAUGUGAAUUGCAGAAUUCCGUGAAUCAUCGAAUCUUUGAACGCACAUUGCGCCCCCUGGCAUUCCGGGGGGCAUGCCUGUCCGAGCGUCAUUUCUGCCCUCAAGCACGGCUUGUGUGUUGGGUGUGGUCCCCCCGGGGACCUGCCCGAAAGGCAGCGGCGACGUCCGUCUGGUCCUCGAGCGUAUGGGGCUUUGUCACUCGCUCGGGAAGGACCUGCGGGGGUUGGUCACCACCAUAUUUUACCACGGUUGACCUCGGAUCAGGUAGGACUUACCCGCUGAACUUAAGCAUAUCAAUAAGCGGAGGA